CAAUACCUACGGGAGGCAGCAGUGGGGAAUAUUGCACAAUGGGCGAAAGCCUGAUGCAGCAACGCCGCGUGAGCGAUGAAGGCCUUCGGGUCGUAAAGCUCUGUCCUCAAGGAAGAUAAUGACGGUACUUGAGGAGGAAGCCCCGGCUAACUACGUGCCAGCAGCAGCGGUAAUACGUAGGGGGCUAGCGUUAUCCGGAAUUACUGGGCGUAAAGGGUGCGUAGGUGGUUUCUUAAGUCAGAGGUGAAAGGCUACGGCUCAACCGUAGUAAGCCCUUGAAACUGGGAAACUUGAGGGCAGGAGAG
rnacentral:rRNA from 1 species